GCUCUGAUCCCUGUGGGCCAGUGUUCUACUGCCUUCAGGAGGAAGCUGGUCUUGUGGGGGUUCCACCGCCUGCUUGUCUAGGGACGACCUUCACAUGCCCCGCUGCAGCUGACAGAAGGUGGCUCUGGCCUCUGCAGAUCUUGUAGCUGGAUGAACAGCUCAUCUCUCUUCUCUCUUGUAGGAAGCCCGCAGCCACUGGUGCCCCCAAGACAAAAGGAAGAAAAGUACAAGCUUGAGGCAUGGGAUCCUGGUGGAGAAGGAAGAAGGAGGUACUUGAAGCAGCUGCUUAUACUGUGUCUGAAGUCAGGAAGAAAGCGAUGCACGCCUGCUGCUCAGCCCCCUCUCCACUUACACAGGUCCGGAUCCCAGUGAGGCAGUCACUCACAAUGGACGGAUCUUCUCACUCAACAACACAAUCAAGACUUCUUGGACAACAGCUCAGCAUUCCCAGUGAAUUACAUCUCACUCCCUGGGUGCUGCGGACUACAGAUUGGGAGGCUGAGGCACGAUGCCGUGGAUCAGACAGCCACAAUCCUUUCAAAGUCGACUGACACAGCAAGAAACAAGUCAGUUACCACCAGCCAAUGGGAACGAGGCUGCUCUGGGUUAACUUCCCGGCCCUGAAAUCUUCUCGGUUGAGAAACAACCAGCAAGCAUUGACAGGA